UCUUAGUUAAAAAGUUCUAGUUCAUUUUUGGAGAUAGCGGAAAUCUCAGAGCAGCUCAAGGAAGUUUCUGAAGAAGUUAGCAAGUUUGUAGGUAUGUCCUUUAAGAUGGAUGUCAAGAAUGUCUUUCUCCAAGUAGAAUUAGAAGAUGAAGUUUAUAUGAGCCUUCCACCAGGUCUUCAAGACACCAUUUGACUUGGAAAAGUUUUAAAACUCAAGAAAGCUAUUUGUGGGUUCCACCAGGUGUCGUCCGUGCUUUCUGAGGCGCUGCCUUUGACUCAGCAUGAGAGAAGGGGGCGGAAAUGCAGUCUCCGAGAGAGUGGUACUACAAGUGUAGCUCAACGCUGAUGGAGAAAGGUUUUAGAAGGUCAGAAGCUGAUCACACCCUCCUCACUUAUCCAAGCCAAAGAGAUAUUAUAGUCAUCUUUAUAUACGUUGAUGAUAUUAUCAUCUCCGGGGAUGACAAGGUAGAAAUUCAAGAUACCAAUCUUACCUAGUCAAUUUUGAUAUUAAAGAUCUUGGAAAACUCUUUUGAUCAUAAAGAAAGGUAGAAGUUUGUCGUUCUAAGGAAGGGCUCUUUUGAUCAUAAAGAAAGUAUGCACUUAAUCUUUUAAAUGAAGUAGGUAAGCUUGGAUCAAAGCUGGUGGUAACACCACUUGAAGAAGAUCAGACGGCUAGUCGAAAGGGGGAGCUUGAUGAUGCUCCAUUUGAAGAUGUAACUUAGUAUCGCUGGUUGGUAGUAAAGUUUAUUUAUCUCACUAUUACACGACCUAACAUUUGUUUUGCUGUGAAUAAGGUGAGCCAACACAUGCAAAAGCCAAAGAGGCAUAUUGGGACAUGGUGAGCCGAAUACUCAAAUAUCUUAAAGGAGCUUCAGGACAAGAUAUUUGGAUGGUAUGCAAUGGGAAUACAUAGCUUGUGGGCUACUAUGAUGCUGACUAUACUUGAUAUCUUGAAGACUGACGUUCAACCACCAGAUAUUGCACUUUCAAUGGAGGCAACCUUGUUACGUGGAAGAGCAAGAGGAAAAAGUUGGUUUCUCUCUAGCGCCGAGUCCGAGUAUAGAGCAAUGAGGAAGCUCACAACCAAGCUGAUGUGGCUAAAAGCCCUUCUAAAAGAUCUUGGCAUUAACACACCAAAGCUGAUCACAAUGCAUUGUGACAACCAAGACGCCAUCCACAUAGCAUUAUGAUAGGACCAAACACAUUGAAGUGGACUGCCAAAAACUAAGAGACCAAGUCCAACUUGGAGUCAUUCUAUCAUGCUACACCGAGAGCUCCGAGCAAUUGGUCGACGUCUUCACCAAAGCAUCCAGUCCCAAAGCUUGUGAGUACAUUCACUCCAAAACUUGGUCUCACAGAUCUUACUAAACCAUGAGUUAAUUCCUCUGGCUAUGGACUCCAUACUCUUUUUUCUUUGGUAUAGUUUUUUCCCAUAAGGUUUUCUAUACUAAGGUUUUCUAUACUCACUACAAGAAAACAUGCUAUUUACAACUACGUUUGGCGACUAAAUACGUAGUCGCUUAAUUUCCCGAUUACUUGUCGACUCAGUAGCAACCAAGUUACAACUGCGUAAAU